CAGGUACAGCGGGAAGCCAGGCGGCGACGCCGAGCGGAACCCGAAAACCUGUCUCAGUUCGGAUCGGAGUCUGCAACCCGACUCCGUGAAGCUGGAUUCGCUAGUAAUCGCGCAUCAGCCAUGGCGCGGUGAAUACGUUCCCGGGCCUUGUACACACCGCCCGUCAAGCCAUGGAAGCCGGGGGUGCCUGAAGUGUGCAGCCGCAAGGAGCGCCCUAAGGUAAAACCGGUGACUGGGGCUAAGUCGUAACAAGGUACC
rnacentral:rRNA from 1 species